CCCGGUUGUGCAGCGGGCGUUGUCGUCGGUCGAGGUCGGCCGUGUCCAGUAUAAAUACAGGGCCAGGCCAGCUGAUCGGCAUCAGUUCGCAGCUCCAACAGCCGCUACAUCAUGAAGGCUUUCGUUUGCUCUUUCCUCGUGGUGCUGCUGGUGGCGGCCGUGUUCGCCCAGGAGAAGGCCAAGGAGACCCUGAAGGGCGCCGAGGCCUACUACGCCUACGCCGCCCCCUACGCCUACAGCGCCUUCGGCUACCCCGCCGUCAGCGCCUACUCCGCCUACCCCUAUGCUGCCGCCGGCUACCCCUACUACUACCGCUGAACACGGACGUUGUAGUGGGGAAGUCAUCGAUGUAAUAAACGUCUUUACAAUAAAUAAAAUUUGUAUAUAGCAAAAUUUAAUUAUGUCUGUUUGCUUACAUCAGCCAUACACCCUUAUCAGAAAGAAGUCCAACAGUCUAGUAUGACUGUAACAGACAGAAGAAACAGAAAUGCUUACAUAGCAAGUCUGAUAAAGAGGAAGGUUAUAGGUAGCAGAAGUCUAAAGUAACUGUAUAUGAGCUAGAAAUGCAGAAAAUUAAAUCCUCUUCUACGAUAAUAUCACACGCUGGACUAAACACCAUCUGGGAAACCUGUGCUUGGCGCUGCAAAUGUAGCCGUUAUGAUUGUUGCAGUGGGGAUUGCCUUCGCUGUGUAACAGCAGUUGAGCUGAUUCCAGACUCA